UACGUAGGGGGCAAGCGUUGUCCGGAUUCAUUGGGCGUAAAGCGCGCGCAGGCGGCUAGCUGAGCCCGGCGUGAAAGCCCCCGGCUCAACCGGGGGAGGUCGUCGGGGACCAGGUGGCUGGAGGCCGGUAGGGGCGAGCGGAAUUCCCGGUGUAGUGGUGGAAUGCGUAGAGAUCGGGAGGAACACCAGUGGCGAAGGCGGCUCGCUGGGCCGGUCCUGACGCUCAGGCGCGAAAGCGUGGGGAGCGAUCCGGAUUAGAAACCCCCGUAGUCC
rnacentral:rRNA from 1 species